rnacentral:rRNA from 1 species
UCCUGGCUUAGGACGAACGGCUGGCGGCGUGCCUAAUACAUGCAAGUCGAACGGCUUUUCUAUGGAAGCUUGCUUCCACUGAGAAGAUAGUGGCGAACGGGUGAGUAACACGUGGGUAACCUGCCCAUAAGAGGGGGAUAACAUCCGGAAACGGGUGCUAAUACCGCAUAGUUUUCUUGAUCGCAUGAUCGGGAAAGGAAAGACGGCCUUUGUGCUGUCGCUUAUGGAUGGACCCGCGGCGUAUUAGUUAGUUGGUGAGGUAACGGCUCACCAAGACGAUGAUACGUAGCCGACCUGAGAGGGUGAUCGGCCACAUUGGGACUGAGACACGGCCCAAACUCCUACGGGAGGCAGCAGUAGGGAAUCUUCCGCAAUGGACGAAAGUCUGACGGAGCAACGCCGCGUGAGUGAAAGAAGGUUUUCGGAUCGUAAAACUCUGUUGUCAGAGAAGAACAAGUUGGAGAGUAACUGCUCCAGCCUUGACGGUAUCUGACCAGAAAGCCACGGCUAACUACGUGCCAGCCGCCGC